GUGAGUAGUUCAGAGUUUGAUCCUGGCUCAGGACGAACGCUGGCGGCGUGCCUAACACAUGCAAGUCGAACGGGGUGAUUCCUUCGGGGAUCACUUAGUGGCGAACGGGUGAGUAACGCGUGAGAAACCUGCCUUUCAGUGGGGGACAACAGUUGGAAACGACUGCUAAUACCGCAUAAUGUUAUCGAGCGGCAUCGCUUGGUAACCAAAGCUUUAUGUGCUGAAAGAUGGUCUCGCGUCUGAUUAGCUAGUUGGUGAGGUAACGGCUCACCAAGGCGACGAUCAGUAGCCGGUCUGAGAGGAUGAACGGCCACAUUGGGACUGAGAUACGGCCCAG
rnacentral:rRNA from 1 species